rnacentral:rRNA from 1 species
UCAUAACAUACUAAACAUUAGCCAAUAAAAACAAUAGUUUUCUAAACUAAAGAACUUGACAGUAUUCUAUCAAUUCAGGGGAGCCUGUUACUUAAUAUGAUACUCCACAAAUAUCUCACCAUAUUUAGAAAAUAACAGUCUGUAUACUACCGCCUAAAGUUUAAUCCUGAGGCCUAAACAAAAUAUUAUCACUCAAUUUAAUACCAGGCCAAAGUGCAACUAAUAAUAUGGAGACCAACGAGCUACAUCUAUAUAAUCUACUCAAUCAUGAAAAAAAGCCAGAACUUGAUAGUAAUGAACUUUUACAAUAAAUUCAUCAAAUAAAAAUAAAAUAUGUACAUAUCGCCCGUCACUCUCACCAUAACGAG